UCCGCCUGUUCACUACGAGCCCAUACAAUCUCCACCUCCACCACCAAUGGUACAACCACCUGCACCAGCCCCAUCAGGCCAUUACUAUAGUGCACCACCACCACCAAACCGUUACUCCAACGCCCCACCACCAAGCCAUUACCACAAUACACCACCCUCACCACCAAUGGAGCAACCACCUCGAACUCCAUCAGGCCAUUACUAUAAUAAUCCACCACCACCACCACAAUCACCAAACCAUUACUACAACAUACCUUCGCCACCACCACCAACAAAGAAUAUAUCACCAAGUACCCAUUAUGCACCACCUCCUCCCCCAUCUGUUCAUUAUGUUCCCACGCCUAGUCAUUCAUCUCCUCCACCGCCGCCACCUCAAGUUCAGUAUUUUCCACCUCCUUAUCCGUCAAGAGGGCAGCAAGCAAGUCCACCUCCACCACCAUCUCAUGAGCAUACGGGGACUCAAUCUCCACCUCCACCAGCAGAGUAUCAUCCACCUCCCAAGGAGUCAUGUCAUCCUAUCCCUCCUCCACCCCCACCAGAAUGCACAACUCCCGUAUCAGCACCACCACCGCCAAGCCAACAUUCAACCCCAUCACCAUAUGCACCAGCACCUGGUCAUCACUAUUCAAAACCAUCCCCAC
rnacentral:lncRNA from 1 species